AGCAGCCGCGGUAAUUCCAGCUCCAAUAGCGUAUAUUAAAGUUGUUGCAGUUAAAAAGCUCGUAGUUGAACUUCGGGGUCUACCCAUUGGUCAGGCUUAAUUGUCUGCACUGGUGAGAUGGAUCUCUACCUUCUGAGGAACUUUCAUGCCAUUUAUUUGGUGUGAUGGGAAAUCAGGACUGUUACUUUGAAAAAUUAGAGUGUUUAAAGCAGACUAUCGUCUGAAUACAUUAGCAUGGAAUAAUGAAAUAGGACGGACUGAUUCUAUUUCGUUGGUUUCUAGGAUCACCGUAAUGAUUAAUAGGGAUAGUUGGGGGCAUUAGUAUUCAAUUGUCAGAGGUGAAAUUCUUGGAUUUAUUGAAGACUAACUACUGCGAAAGCAUUUGCCAAGGAUGUUUUCAUUAAUCAAGAACGAAAGUUAGGGGAUCGAAGACGAUCAGAUACCGUGUAGUCUUAACCAUAA
rnacentral:rRNA from 1 species